UACGUAGGAUGCGAGCGUUAUCCGGAUUUAUUGGGUUUAAAGGGUGCGUAGGCGGACGCUUAAGUCAGCGGUAAAAUUGCGGGGCUCAACCUCGUCGAGCCGUUGAAACUGGGUGCCUUGAGUGGGCGAGAAGUACGCGGAAUGCGUGGUGUAGCGGUGAAAUGCAUAGAUAUCACGCAGAACUCCGAUUGCGAAGGCAGCGUACCGGCGCCCAACUGACGCUGAAGCACGAAGGCGUGGGUAUCGAACAGG
rnacentral:rRNA from 1 species